GGACUUAACAGUUUGGCUUAAUGGUUAUCAGCUUUUAAAUGUAUUAAUCCGCUAGCCACCCGAUAAGAUAUCGGGCGGAUUGGUAUCGGUUUACCUCUUAUCGAGCGGUUAUCGGACGGUUUAUCGGCCUAAUUCAACCUAUAUUGCGUGCAUUAAUUGUUUGCUAACAGUCUAGCAUACAAAUUUAAAAAUCAAAAUUACACAUUGAGUUUACAUGUAGAAAUCGAAACUGCUGGUCUGCCUACAUAACAAUGAGUGAAAAAGCAGAACACAUUUGUAAAUCACUAAAUUGUACGCUACAACACAUCCCAAACCCAAAGCAGAGUAUUAAAACGAACACCGUCCAUUUUAAAAAUAUACACAUUUGUUUUCUGCAACUGUUCCUGCGUCCCACAUUAUCCAGUUCCAACUUCCAUCUCUACUUCUUCUCCUAUUUCAAUUACAUGAAAAACACAAGAAAAUCAUCAGGAUUAAAAACCUAUAUUAACACAUAGUUUCUGAAGAUAUUAAAUCUCACUAAUAUGAUUUCAACAUUGCAAUAGACUACAACUGCAUUACAAAGCAGAUUGACAGAUUUCUGUUCUAUCUCAACAAGCUCAACAGCUACGAGAGAGUUCUAUGAAUGACCUUCUUAAACAACAUAGAAGGAAGAAGUUCAUCAAAUAGAGAGGCAACAACAUCCGCUCUGCCAAUAUAUUGAAUGGCUUUACAAUCUUUAUAAACAUGCAGAAGUUAAUAUAUACAAUGUAAUAUGAUAUUGAAAAAAAGAAUGGGAUCAUGAAAUUUAUCUUGGUUUGCUUCAGUAGCACAUAAGUAUGAAAUGAAAAUAGUUGUACGAUUAAAGCUUGUUGUUGGUACCGAUGUUAGCAUGAUUUGCAUCCGAAAAUCGUUUUGCAAACCAUACAGGGCAAAGCAUCCAAGAGAUGUUGAACAUGUGAGUGCACAGCUCUAGCCAAAGCUUAACAUGACGCUUAAAUACUAUGAGCUUUCAUAUCAUUCUCUGUCUUGACGAAUUCAAUCAGGAUUUAUAAAGGUUGACAGAUGAUAAACAAAGAGUAUUAGGGAUAUAUAAUAUAGUAUUCAUAUCGAUAUUACAAGACGAAACAACUUGACAGUGAGAAAUCUUAACCUUUCUUCCUCCUUUUCCCCUUUUGUUUGUUCCUUUACAUUGAAAUAUGAAAUUAACGCCACAUCCAUAAAGGUACAAUGGGUGCACUGUUUACUACAUCUAUGUACUUGAAUCCGGUUCUGCCUAGAAGCACUAUGGAACUUAAAUCCAAGGUGAUAGCAAUAUUACAUUAGCAAUCAAAAGCAGCUUAAAUUCAGUCAUAUAACUAGGGAAUGUUCCAUUAAUUAAAUAGUGAUUCACUGCAUAAAAUCGAUUCACUGUAGAUUUAUCAACAAGUACCACAAAUAACUCUGUUAACGAUGUCAUGAGCCUGAAGAUUCGUCUACUCCAUUUUAUCUGCUGCUUUUUUUUUUGUAAUCGUCUAACACCAAAACAUUGAGCUCGUUAUUAACCACUUCAGCGAUUGAGAGCUGGCCAUUCCAAUCUAAGAGUUGAAUCCUGCUCAACCCAUCUGAGAUAAAAGUUCCAGCAGAAAGAGUAGUAUGACCAAUGUAGCUCUCAUUCACCAUAUCCAAAAUAUCAACAUGUAUAUCAAGAUUAUUCACAGCGAGCAAAAAUGUAUGAAUUGCAAGGUAAAAAACACAGAUACCUGUUGGUGCUGGACUGCUGAAAGUCGACGAGAGGGGCGUUAGGUUACUGCUGGUGUUGGACUGCUAGAAGUCGACGAGAGGGGCAUUAGGUUACUGCUGGUGUUGGACUACUGGAGGUCGACGAGAGAGGCGUUAGGUUUAGGCGUUAGGGUUUCUGUCUUACGCGUUAGAGAGUAGACACAGAGUNNNNN
rnacentral:lncRNA from 1 species